CCUACGGGUGGCAGCAGUGGGGAAUAUUGCACAAUGGGGGGAACCCUGAUGCAGCGACGCCGCGUGAGCGAUGAAGUAUUUCGGUAUGUAAAGCUCUAUCAGCAGGGAAGAAAAUGACGGUACCUGACUAAGAAGCCCCGGCUAACUACGUGCCAGCAGCCGCGGUAAUACGUAGGGGGCAAGCGUUAUCCGGAUUUACUGGGUGUAAAGGGAGCGUAGACGGCUGUGCAAGUCUGGAGUGAAAGGCAUGGGCUCAACCUGUGGACUGCUUUGGAAACUGUGCGGCUUGAGUGUCGGAGAGGAGAGUGGAACUCGAGGUGUAGCGGUGAAAUGCGUAGAUAUAUGGAAGAACACCAGUGGCGAAAGCGGCUCUCUGGUCUGUAACUGACGCUGAGGUUCGAAAGCGUGGGUAGCAAACAGGAUUAGAUACCCCAGUAGUC
rnacentral:rRNA from 1 species